rnacentral:rRNA from 1 species
CCUACGGGAGGCAGCAGUGAGGAAUAUUGGUCAAUGGACGCAAGUCUGAACCAGCCAUGCCGCGUGCAGGAUGACGGCUCUAUGAGUUGUAAACUGCUUUUGUACGAGGGUAAACCCCGAUACGUGUAUCGGGUUGAAAGUAUCGUACGAAUAAGGAUCGGCUAACUCCGUGCCAGCAGCCGCGGUAAUACGGAGGAUCCGAGCGUUAUCCGGAUUUAUUGGGUUUAAAGGGUGCGUAGGCGGUUUGGUAAGUUAGAGGUGAAAGGUUGGGGCUCAACCCGGAAAGUGCCUCGGAAACUGGUGGGCGGGAGGAUAGUAGCGGGAGGCGGAAUGUGUGGUGUAGCGGUGAAAUGCUUAGAGAUCAUGCAG